rnacentral:rRNA from 1 species
CAAGUAGCCGCGGUAAUACGUAGGUGGCAAGCGUUGUCCGGAAUUAUUGGGCGUAAAGGGCUCGCAGGCGGUUUCUUAAGUCUGAUGUGAAAGCCCCCGGCUCAACCGGGGAGGGUCAUUGGAAACUGGGAAACUCGAGUGCAGAAGAGGAGAGUGGAAUUCCACGUGUAGCGGUGAAAUGCGUAGAGAUGUGGAGGAACACCAGUGGCGAAGGCGACUCUCUGGUCUGUAACUGACGCUGAGGAGCGAAAGCGUGGGGAGCGAACAGGAUUAGAUACCCCCGUAGUCCCUGUCUCUUAUA